rnacentral:rRNA from 1 species
GACGAACGCUGGCGGCGUGCUUAACACAUGCCAGUCGAACGGAAAGGCCCUGCUUUUGUGGGGUGCUCGAGUGGCGAACGGGUGAGUAACACGUGAGUAACCUGCCCUUGACUUUGGGAUAACUUCAGGGAACUGGGGCUAAUACCGGAUAGGAGCUCCUGCUGCAUGGUGGGGGUUGGAAAGUUUCGGCGGUUGGGGAUGGACUCGCGGCUUAUCAGCUUGUUGGUGGGGUAGUGGCUUACCAAGGCUUUGACGGGUAGCCGGCCUGAGAGGGUGACCGGCCACAUUGGGACUGAGAUACGGCCCAGACUCCUACGGGAGGCAGCAGUGGGGAAUAUUGCACAAUGGGCGGAAGCCUGAUGCAGCAACGCCGCGUGCGGGAUGACGGCCUUCGGGUUGUAAACCGCUUUCGCCUGUGACGAAGCGUGAGUGACGGUAAUGGGUAUAGAAGCACCGGCUAACUACGUG